rnacentral:rRNA from 1 species
GACGUAGGGCGCGAGCGUUGUCCGGAUUUAUUGGGCGUAAAGAGCUCGUAGGCGGCUUGUCGCGUCGAAUGUGAAAACCCACAGCUCAACUGUGGGCUUGCAUUCGAUACGGGCAGGCUAGAGUUCGGUAGGGGAGACUGGAAUUCCUGGUGUAGCGGUGAAAUGCGCAGAUAUCAGGAAGAACACCCGUGGCUAAGGCGGCUCUCUAGUAUGGUACUGACGCUGAGACGCGAAAGCGUGGGGAGCGAAGCAGG